CUCAAAAAUCCUAGGCAAUGGCGCAGCAAGUGCGGAGAUCGGCUACCGUCUUCUUCACCUCCGGUCGCCGUCGCCAUUGUCGAUUCCGCCUCCUCCGGUGAGCCAUUGUCCGAUUCUUCGCGUAUACACCAUCCCUGGGACCUCACUAACCCCAUGAAAACACAUGGAUGUCAAUUCGAUGAGUGGAUCGAGCCGUUGCCGUCUCCCCGGAGCUCUACACCGUCGCCGGACCAUCUUCUUCACCGCUGCCGCUGUCCAGACUUUCCCGCGCCUCGUUCAAGGUUCGGUGAGCACACUUGAGCCCAUAGGAUUGCAUUCAUGCAUUUCAUUCACUUAGAAUCGAGCACCAACUCAACAUGCAGUAGCAGCCUAAGCACAGCCGCCGCUCGGACUCGCCGCCGGCGUUACUCCGAUGUCCACUGACCGAGAAAAGUAGAGGAAUGGAAUCACAAUAGCAUGAUCGUCAUUUUGUCUUUUGGUCGCACCCUCAACCGAGCCACCGUUUGCCGCUGGCAAGCUUGAGAUCGAGCUCAGCCAUGGCUUGAUCUGCUUCAGCUCAAACCAGGGACCUCCUCACAAGAAUUUAGGUUAAUGUAGGGUUCUUUCUGCAAAAGCUCAAGACACACAGAACAGUCAUAAGACUGCGGUUUGAUUUCCUGAAACCCUAGGGGCCUUUUUGCAUAUUGGCCUGAGACCGACAAGUGGACCCCAUGAGUUUAAAAUCUGAAAAUGUAAAAGAUAAUACUAAAAGCCUUUACUUUUUAACAGCAAAACACCUAAACUUGUAAAAUCCAUAUAAAAUCAAAUAUAACUUAUUUUGAGAUGAUUCAACUUUCUAUAGGUUCACAAAACUAUGAACUUUAAUGUGGUAACAUUAAGCUUGGCACCCUCAGCACAGACCUUGUCUCUAAAAUGGGUCUAAUAUAAAUCAUACAUAAAGCAUACACAAACUUAUAAAAUGCAUAUAAAGUACAUCUCAACUCAUUUUGGAGCAAACUCAGUUUCUACAGAUCCACAACUUAUGUUCUCCUAUAAAGCAAAAUGAAAUAGUAUACAUACUAUACAUCAAAUGCCUCUAAAACUAUUACCUUUGAAUGACUAGUUUUAGAUAAGCUGAAUUUUAGAAGUUCAUAUAAAAUUCAUCUUAGAUCCUUUUUGAGUAAACCCAAGUUCUGUAGAAUCACCAAAACAUAUACUUCCAAGUUAUAAAAUAAAAUUAUAUACUUACUGUAUGAUAAAAGCCUCUAAAUACUUAUGUAAGUAAUAACCAACAUACAGAAACCUUAAAUUGUAAAAUUUGUAGAAAAUUCAUCUUUAGUCUAAAUGAAGUGAACCAAAUAUCUAUAGAACCAGCAAACAGUGGGCUUCAACAUAGUAAAAUAAAAUAUGGAACCUUCUGUACAGGUUAUAGCUCUAAACUUUAAAUUUAUAGGAUAGGUGCUAAUCACAUAGUAUCGAUUGAGCAAUAUGUAUAUAUAUAAAUGUAUAUAGAAAUACACUCUAGCUAUAAUGAAACCCAAAUAAAACUUGUUAGACUAGUGAAUGCAUAGUUCCAUCCCCAUCCACCAAAACUUAAGGCACUUAGCUCAUAUAAUAAUUUCUAGGUUGAUAUAAUAAAUUGCUAGCAUGGACUAGAGCUCCUCUAGUUUAUAAAAUAUGAACCAUGAUAAUAAAGACCAUAAGCCUAUGAACUAAGGUUAGAUUAGUUAACUAAAAUACUCAUUUUAUACAUCACUAGCUAGAUGAGGCAAGUUCUGGACCUAAACCUCUAAAGCCAUGAAACUAUAGAACACUAUACACCUAUAACACGUUAUAACUUGUAAAAUACAUAAAGAAUUCAUAUUAAGUCCAAAAAUUGUGAAACCAAAUGUGUUAGUCUUAGAAAACACUCCUCUACACCUCUGUGAAGUCAAAACUAAUAAAAAUCACUUUAUAAAAAUAUUUUAUAACACUACCUAGGUGAUACUACCUUAUACUGAGGAAACUUCUAAAAUUCAUAACUCCCAAAUAAAAAGAGAUAAAAUAGAAAUUCUUUCACCUAAAUUCAUAUUAUACCAGUACCUAUUCACUGUGCAAAAAUCAUCAAUUUUAGAGCAUUUUGGAUUUUUCGCAUAUUUCGGUGUUUAAUUGCAUAACGUGUACUUUGUAUAGAUGAUUGCUUAAACGGUGAAGAAGUGAUUUAGGUGCUGACAUUUUCCUGAUUCAAGGCAAGUCCCACCUCCCUCUCUUUGAUCACUUUGAACCUAUGUUUUGGAGGUUAUUGAAAAUGUUUGCAAAUCUUGCAUGUCGAUUGUACACUAAUAAAUUAAAAUUUUGUUAAACUUAUUAGAUAAACUCCUAUUAUUUGCAUUAUCACCUUAAAUCCACAUAUAUCCAUAUUCCUCAUUCCUAACCUUAGGAACAAUAUGACUAUACCAAUUUAUAUAUGAGUUUUGGUGACACUAGGUUACUAUAAAGCUUAACCAUGCUUAGAAUGGUCUUCCUUGUCAUUAUGGGCUCAUUACAAACAUGAAAAUUGAUUUUUAAUUAAUCUGGACAGAACUUUAAUACUUGUGAUUUUGAUAAAUAAAAUGGUGGAAAACAUGGAUUUUAGGUUUGGGCCUCAAGUGGUGCACAUAUGGUGAUUAGUUGUGUACCGAUAGGGGGAGAGUGUGCCCAAACCGACCUAAGGACUUCACUCAAUGUCAGUUCAUUUCGUAUACGGUGCAACCACAUGUGCUAGUAUGGGAUAGCCCAAGCUUAGUAAAUUAUUUAUGGUUUAGCCUUACAUUCUGGUAGGCCGGUGUGUAUGAGUUCAUAUAAUUCAGAGGAGCUUCCUAUUUACCUCGAAGUGGUAGUUUAGGUGACCUAGCGUGUCCAAUACAACGGUAUUGUGCCACGUGGUGGGUUCCCGUUGUAUCCGCCACCACGGCGUUAAGUUUAAGGCGUGGGCCCGCCACUUAACGGUUUUAGGUCAUAUAACAUGUAUGGCUUAGGAUGGAGUAACACGUAUCGUGCUGGUGUAAGGUUAAAUCAUGAAUUUUGAAAAAGCUUUAUUGCGGGUAAUAAAUCGGGUACUUAUGUAUCGCGUGCCAUGCUCUUGCAUGAUUAUUAUUUUGCAUCAUGUGGGUAAAGUGUACAAACUAUGCAGAGUAAAAACUAAUCGAUUAGCCGUGCUCACGGACAAGAGCGACGUGUGGAUAUGUAUUGAGUAUAGACUUGUGUUUAUUCUUCUUAAUGCUAAAAUUUACCUUCAAAUUGUGAUGAGAUUUGAGAAUGAUCUCCUUGCUGCCAUGGAAGGCAAUGAGGUGCAUAUUUAUACAUGAUUAAUGCCUACCUUGAUGCCCAAUAUGUCAAGUACUAGCUUGCUGAAAUUUAUUUGAAAGUAAACCUGAUUUAGAAAUGUUUUAUGCAAAUAAAACUUGCUUUAUGCUAAAAAGAACCAUAUUAUGCCUUCCUUGAUUAUAUGCCUUGCAAGUAGGGUGUUAGGCUUGUCUUGAUGCUUGCCAGUACAUUAUUUCUAAUAAUGUACUAACUCUUGCUAUUGAAUUAAUCUUUUGCUUGCAGGUUUUAGACUUAGUCUUUGAGUGAUGCGGGUAAUCGACUGCUUCUUCUAGGACUUGAAUUUAAUGGGGUAAAUCCCUAGUCGGUGUGCUUGUGGAUUGGGUAGACAAGCUUCCGCUGUUCUAUAUAUUUAUUUGGCCAGUCGGCCAAUGUAACUAAAGUAGAUGUAGUUUAUAAUCGCUUUCAUCUUAUUUGUGUUUGCUAUGUAUAAUCAUGC
rnacentral:lncRNA from 1 species